AUCACAAGAGACCCAUUGCCAUACCUGACAUUUUCUCAGUGUGACAGACUGGACUAGUGAAUUAUAUAAACCUCCUCUCUACUGCAAUUACAGUCGCGUCCUUGUUAGUAAUUAUAGACAAGUCAACAGAAUAAUCAAUAAAGGCUAACACCGAUAUAGAAAGGGUAGUAGAUACCUGGAAUAGCCUUCCAGUGGGAGCAGUAACAGUGAUAUAGAAAGGGUAGUAGAUACCUGGAAUAACCUUCCAGUGGAAGCAGUAACAGCGAUAUAGAAAGGGUAGUAGAUACCUGGAAUAGCCUUCCAGUGGUAGCAGUAACAGUGAUACAGAAAGGGUAGUAGAUACCUGGAAUAGCCUUCCAGUGGGAGAGGUAAUGGCUAACAAUGACCGACCCAGGAUACCAACCGAGCUGAGACACCUAGAGAUUUAAUGACACCAACUGACCCAGGAUACCAACCCAUCUGCGAUACGGAUUUAACAAGAAUCCACCCAAGGACUCAGAAUGAUUCCGGAUUCUCACUGUCCUAACAGCACCAACAGAUCCAGUGACACUAACUGACUUAACCCUUUAAGGACACAUGACCUGUGUGACAUGUUAUGAUUCCCUUUUAUUCCAGAAGUUUGGUCCUUAAGGGGUUAAAUAAUGUCACUGAGCUAAUAACCAGUCCAUUUGCUCUGAUUCUGGCUACAAGCUGUUCUGAAAAACACUCAGGAUCUGUAUCUACUCCUGUAAAAUACCCAAGCACUAGGCCAGCUAUUCCUGAGACAUUUCGGGCAUGUGGGGAAUGAGAUACUAGCCAAACACAGGCACACGCCACACACAUGCUCUGAUCUUCUGUCAAAUAUAGGGAACAAUGAAGGUCUCCGAUUACACUAAGC
rnacentral:lncRNA from 1 species